rnacentral:rRNA from 1 species
GGNCNCUCNCNGCGGGUCGACGAUUCCUACGGGAGGCAGCAGUGGGGAAUCUUAGACAAUGGGCGCAAGCCUGAUCUAGCCAUGCCGCGUGAGUGAUGAAGGCCUUAGGGUCGUAAAGCUCUUUCGCCAGGGAUGAUAAUGACAGUACCUGGUAAAGAAACCCCGGCUAACUCCGUGCCAGCAGCCGCGGUAAUACGGAGGGGGUUAGCGUUGUUCGGAAUUACUGGGCGUAAAGCGUACGUAGGCGGAUCAGAAAGUUAGGGGUGAAAUCCCGGGGCUCAACCCCGGAACUGCCUCUAAAACUCCUGGUCUUGAGUUCGAGAGAGGUAAGUGGAAUUCCGAGUGUAGAGGUGAAAUUCGUAGAUAUUCGGAGGAACACCAGUGGCGAAGGCGGCUUACUGGCUCGAUACUGACGCUGAGGUACGAAAGUGUGGGGAGCAAACAGGAUUAGAUACCCUGGUAGUCCACACCGUAAACGAUGAAUGCCAGUCGUCGGCAAGCAUGCUUGUCGGUGACACACCUAACGGAUUAAGCAUUCCGCCUGGGGAGUACGGUCGCAAGAUUAAAACUCAAAGGAAUUGACGG